rnacentral:rRNA from 1 species
AUUGAACGCUGGUGGCAGGCCUAACACAUGCAAGUCGAGCGGAUGAAGGGAGCUUGCUCCUGGUUUCCGCGGCGGACGGGUGAGUAAUGCCUAGGAAUCUGCCUGGUAGUGGGGGAUAACGUCCGGAAACGGGCGCUAAUACCGCAUACGUCGUGCGGGUGAAAGUGGGGGAUCUUCGGACCUCACGCUCUCAGAUGAGCCUAGGUCGGAUUAGCUAGUUGGUGGGGUAGAGGCCUACCAAGGCGACGAUCCGUAACUGGUCUGAGAGGAUGAUCAGGCACACGGGAAGUGAGACACGGUCCAGACUCCUACGGGAGGCAGCAGUGGGGAAUAUUGGACAAUGGGCGAAAGCCUGAUCCAGCCAUGCCGCGUGUGUGAAGAAGGUCUUCGGAUUGGAAAGCACUUUAAGUUGGGAGGAAGGGCAGUAAGUUAAUACCUUGCUGUAUUGACGUUACCAACAGAAUAAGCACCGGCUAACUUCGUG